rnacentral:rRNA from 1 species
CUGACGCUGCUUACGAUGGGGUCGGACGGAGGAAUUUAUUUCGGUGAAUUCUUAGUGGCGAACGGGUGAGUAACGCGUAGGCAACCUGCCCUUUGGAUGGGGACAACAUUCCGAAAGGAGUGCUAAUACCGAAUGUGAUCCAUUUCUCGCAUGAGAGAUGGAUGAAAGAUGGCCUCUAUUUAUAAGCUAUCGCCAAAGGAUGGGCCUGCGUCUGAUUGUUAGUUGGUGGGGUAACGGGUCACCAAUACGAUGAUCAGUAUCCGGGCUGAGAGGAUGAAGGGCGACAUUGGGACUGAGACACGGCCCAAACUCCUACGGGAGGCAGCAGUGGGGAAUCUUCCGCAAUGGACGAAAGUCUGACGGAGCAACGCCGCGUGAGUGAUGAAGGUUUUCGGACUGUAAAACUCUGUUGUCAGGGACGAAGGUGCGAUCUGCGAAUAGUUGAUCGUAUUGACGGUACCUGACGAGGAAGCCACGGCUAACUACGUGCCAGCAGCCGCGGUAAUACGUAGGUGGCAAGCGUUGUCCGGAAUUAUUGGGCGUAAAGAGCAUGUAGGUGGGCUUUUAAGUCCGAUGU